UGCAAGAAGCCAAAAAACAAAAAAUGGACAGGCUGCAAAACCGACUAAAAAAUGGAAAUAUUGGGACAUAUUGUCAUUUCUUUUGCCGCAUAUCAAAGGAAGAGAGUCUCAUAACAGCAAAUUUUUGUUUUUUAAAAAUUUUUUUAGAACUCAGUCCAAUAUCAACCGCGUAGAUGGCGACGAGGAAGAAGAAUCGGAAGAAGAUGGUAAUGAAACCAGAAGCGAAGUGGAUGAAAACCAGAUUGAAGAUGAUGGAGAAGACGUUCCGAGUCCAAGAGACGAUGUAAUGAGUCCCACUUCUUAUUCACAACCGAAUACUCCACAAUCUAAUGCGUCAAGUGUCAAAAGUGUAUCGACAGUUGCUAAAAGCAAAAAGCCUAACUGCAAGAAAGUAGAUAGAUUGCCUGAAAUACUAAAAGAAUAUAUCAACGACAAGAAACGAAGUCGCUUAGAGAAAUCGACGGCUCGGGCAGACGCAAAAGAUAAUUCGAUUUUAGAUUUUUUCAUAAAUAUGGGCAAAACGGUUGCAACCUUUCCUCCUCUAGAGCAAGCUUCAAACAAAAGGCAGGUGUUUCAAAUUGUAAAUUCGUAUGAAUUACAGCUAUUGGGUGGCACAACACCAACACAAAGUCUUUUUUACAUGCAAAACCAACCAUCCACUUCCUUUCACCCACCCAGUUCAUAUUUCCACAACCAACAACCCCAGUCUGCUUCUACUUGCUAUGAAAAGUCUGGGUCUCAUGCACAAACGUUAACAAAUCAGAACAUCGUCCAAGCCCAACAACACCCUUCACCUGCACCAACAGAGCAGUCAUCCUCAUCCAUUCACCCACUAAGUUCAUAUGUCCACAACCCACAAUCCCAAGCUGCUUCUGCUUACUAUGAAAAGUCUGGGUCUCAUACACAAACAUUAACAACUCAACAGUUUCCACCUGCAGCAGCGACAGAGCAGUCAUUCCCAUUCCAGUCGGGCUCGAAAUAUGUCAUGGACCCAAUACUUUCGUUUUCGUUUAUCUAAUUGGUGUUGGUGCCAAACAACAGUCACGAAGAUUUCGUCUGAUGAACUGGAUGAUGUGUCCUCUGCCGUGCACAUUUUCACAAGGAAGACAUAGAACUGCGAGUAUUUUGAUGCUCAAGUGUGUAUACCUACAUUAAAAUGCUGCAUCGCGCUGCUCUGCUUCGUGCUGUGACGCGCUGCCUUAGUGAGAAUCGACCUUAACCCAUUAAAAUAUUUUGUUUGUUUGGUAGAAAAAUUCGUUUUUUUUUAAGUAACAAUAAUUCCUUUGUUAGUCUGCUCAUGUCUAAAUUAAUGAUACAAUGUAAUGUCCAGAAUACACAUAUCGACCAGCAGGAAAAGUUAUCGUCAAUCGUCAUGAUUGGCACUAAUGACUUGAGACGAAACAAAAAUUAUGCCAUGAACUGCGAUGCUGCGCCUGAUUGCGACAUUGAAGAAAUCACAACCUAUUGAACAAAUCGAAAUUGCACGUUGCCGUCGAUACCAAACGUCACACAGAAUCAAGUAGCAAACAUGAAACAAUUUAAUAAAUUUAUUCGCAAUAAAACUGAUAGCAAGCACGCUGCUUCUGUGUGAAGUGGAGGCAAAAUGAAACAAGUAAAAGGUUUUCGCCCUAAGGCAAGUAACUUCAGCGCAUUUUCCAUGAAUGAUCAGUACUUCC